UGGGGAAUAUUGCACAAUGGGCGGAAGCCUGAUGCAGCAACGCCGCGUGAGUGAUGAAGGCCUUCGGGUUGUAAAGCACUUUUGUCCGGAAAGAAAUCCUUGGCUCUAAUACAGUCGGGGGAUGACGGUACCGGAAGAAUAAGCACCGGCUAACUACGUGCCAGCAGCCGCGGUAAUACGUAGGGUGCAAGCGUUAAUCGGAAUUACUGGGCGUAAAGCGUGCGCAGGCGGUUUGCUAAGACCGAUGUGAAAUCCCCGGGCUCAACCUGGGAACUGCAUUGGUGACUGGCAGGCUAGAGUAUGGCAGAGGGGGGUAGAAUUCCACGUGUAGCAGUGAAAUGCGUAGAGAUGUGGAGGAAUACCGAUGGCGAAGGCAGCCCCCUGGGCCAAUACUGACGCUCAUGCACGAAAGCGUGGGGAGCAAACAGGAUUAGAUACCCUGGUAGUCCACGCCCUAAACGAUGUCAACUAGUUGUUGGGGAUUCAUUUCCUUAGUAACGUAGCUAACGCGUGAAGUUGACCGCCUGGGGAGUACGGUCGCAAGAUUAAAA
rnacentral:rRNA from 1 species